GACGAACGCUGGCGGCGUGCCUAAUACAUGCAAGUCGAACGCAGUGGGGACGGGUGAGUAACCCGUGGGUAACCUCCCCAUCCGAGGGGCUAACACUUGGAAACAGGUGCUAAACCGAUACUGAUGGAUGGACCCGCGGUGCAUUAGCUAGUUGGUGAGGUACCGGCUCACCAAGGCCCCGAUGCAUCGCCGAACUGGGAGGGUGAGCGGCCACACUGGGACGGAGACACGGCCCAGACUCCUACGGGAGGCAGCAGUAGGGAAGCGUCGGCAAUGGACGAAAGCCUGACCGAGCAACGCCGCGUGAGUGAAGAAGGUGUUCGGAUCGUAAAACGCUGUUGUUAGAGAAGCGGUAUCUAACCAGAAAGCAACGGCUAACUACGUGGCAGCAGCCGCGGUAAUAC
rnacentral:rRNA from 1 species